AUCCUUCCACGAUGUGCUGUCGGCCUCAUCUCCCAAGUCCAAGCCAUUCUUGUUCCUUCUCUGCUCGUUCUCAUGGCCGAGCUCCCCACGUCCGCCGCUCCUCCCUGGCGCCCUCACCUCCAUUGGAGCUCGCCCCUGUUGAGCUCACCUGUGCUCGUCGGCUGCCCUGCAGUUCCCCCAUGGACGCCUCCUUUCUAAUCUGUGUGCAGGGGUUUCCUUCCCAUGGUCGCCCUCAACCCCAUGGUCGACCUCGCCUAGCCCUUCCCCCAUCUCUUCCCCAAGCUCGGUUCGGCAUGGAGGCUGGCCACAGGACGCAGCACACCAACCUCACCGGCCAUACCCUCUGCUUUUCCCCACUGUCCGCAGCCCCGAUGUCGUCGUCGUGAUUAGACAUGUGUGGCGAAAAGAAAGAUUCUAGAGUUUGGUGGGAAAGGAAAGCUCUAUCACGACGACCACCAGGUACGUUCAUUGAUCACGUAUUGUGGAGGACAACAACAACUGGAAUAAUCUCAAAGUGGGAUUGAUGAAUGAACCCAAAGCUGAAUGAUCUGAUCGUACUGGAAUGGGAGGUGCUCGCCAAGCGAGUAUCAUCUAACAACACUGACUUAGUGUUUAUCCCAGGUUAUAAUUUUGUUCUGUUGUGGAUGCUGCUAAGUGCCGGUGGGCUCGGCCUUCUUAUAUAAGUAUAUCCCAUCUUUAGCUUCUUUAUUGAGGAUUGUCACUUAAGCUAGCAUGUAUUUUAAAACUUAUAAAUGUUUUAUACAUUCAAAUUGUAAUCUUUUGAAUCAAUUUCUUUUGUAACCAACUCCGAUGAUAUAUAUUGUAAUCUUGCUAUAACUUGUAAAUGUUGUAACUUGUAACCAUUUUGUAAUAAAUAAUUUAUUUCCGCUGCA